AGAGGUCUUAAAUUGAGGAAAAAAAAAUGCUAAAAAUUCAUAGACAUCAUUCAAACAUCAUGCUUCAAAUAAAAUUGGCACAUUAACUUGGAAGAGGAGAGAAAAGGACAGUGGAGGAAGGAAGCUGAGCAGAGAGAUGAAGCUAAGCAACAUCUGAAAGAUUCAUGAAGAAUAUAUGCAUAAAAGUAUUAGUCCUGCCAGAAAUAUUCCAGCCCAUCAAAAGAGAAUAGAGAAACUUGCUGAACUCUGGAAGGCAGUGGUUAUAUGGAGAAGAAAAGGCUGCAUUUCAGUACAUCAGAGUUCAGAUGUUGUAUCUGAUGAUGCAAGCAGGAAUUUCAUGUGCUUUCCAUGCAACAGAAAUAAUAGAUGAAUGAAAAUGUCUGCCAUGCAAAUUCUUUACUGGAAUGGUAAAUGAGUUUGUGACCUAGUUACUGAUUAGAGGUGAUCACUACAGUAUUGAUUCAUACUGUUCUGAAGCCAUGGUAACUAAGGAGAAUAAUGCUUUGGGCAUACAGUUUACAGCACUGAAAUGGGCUAUCUGCACAAGUACCAGGAAAGGGCAUCAGCCAACUGUCAGUUAGAAACAAGGACAGAAUGACUGCAAACUUAAGUGAUCUGUACUUUGGCCUUUGAAACAGGAGUAUACUACAGAAGAACCUAGAAGAAGCAGGUAUUAAUAAUGGAUGUUUUU